UGAAAGACAUGGGUAGUGAGAUGCUACUAGGAUCCAUCUCACUACCUUGUCUUUGACG
rnacentral:pre_miRNA from 1 species